GCCGCGCCGCGGCCUCGAUGCUUUCCGCCUCGACGACAAGGUAGCCGCAAAAGGGGUUCACGGCAGCGGCGACACCGUCCUUGGUCACGCGCGUCGUCUUGCCCACCAUGCCACCACGAUCGAGGAUGGAUGCGGCGUUUCUGUCCU
rnacentral:sRNA from 1 species